rnacentral:pre_miRNA from 1 species
UGGAAGGUGGAGAUGAGAGGAUCGCUUGAGCCCGGAAGUUCGAGACCAGCCUGGGUGACAGAGUAAGACUCCGUCUCACAAAAAAAAAAAAAAAUUUUUUUUUUGUAGAGACAAGGUCUUGCUCUGUCACCCAGGCUGGUCUCGAACUUCCGGGCUCAAGCGAUCCUCUCAUCUCCACCUUCCA